rnacentral:rRNA from 1 species
GAUGAACGCUGGCGGCGUGCCUAAUACAUGCAAGUCGAGCGAAUGGAUUGAGAGCUUGCUCUUAUGAAGUUAGCGGCGGACGGGUGAGUAACACGUGGGUAACCUGCCCAUAAGACUGGGAUAACUCCGGGAAACCGGGGCUAAUACCGGAUAACAUUUUGAACCGCAUGGUUCGAAAUUGAAAGGCGGCUUCGGCUGUCACUUAUGGGUGGACCCGCGUCGCAUUAGCUAGUUGGUGAGGUAACGGCUCACCAAGGCAACGAUGCGUAGCCGACCUGAGAGGGUGAUCGGCCACACUGGGACUGAGACACGGCCCAGACUCCUACGGGAGGCAGCAGUAGGGAAUCUUCCGCAAUGGACGAAAGUCUGACGGAGCAACGCCGCGUGAGUGAUGAAGGCUUUCGGGUCGUAAAACUCUGUUGUUAGGGAAGAACAAGUGCUAGUUGAAUAAGCUGGCACCUUAACGGUACCUAACCAGAAAGCCACGGCUAACUACGUGCCAGCCGCCGCAGUAA